rnacentral:rRNA from 1 species
CCAAAAAAUCGGAAGGAUAAAACAUGCUAGUCGAGCGCCCCCCAGCCACGACGGAGGCGCGGCGUACAGCUCAGUCCCUUUUGGCUAACCUGCCCUCGGGACGGGAAUACCCCCGGGAACCUGGGGCUAAUCCCCGAUAGGUGGAGAACUCUGGAAUGAGUCUCCGCCCAAAAGACGCUUAAAUCAUGCUUUUAGGCCCCGCCCAAGGAUGGGGCCGCGACCGAUCAGGUAGUUGGUGAGGCAACGGCUCACCAAGCCUUUAACCGGUGCGGGCCGUGAGAGCGGGAGCCCGGAGAUGGGCACUGAGACAAGGGCCCAGGCCCUACGGGGCGCAGCAGUCGCGAAAACUUUGCAAUACACGAAAGUGUGACAGGGCUAUCCCGAGUGCCAUCCGCUGAGGAAGGCUUUUACCCAGUAUAGAAAGCUGGGAGAAUAAGGAGAGGGCAAGUCUGGUGUCAGCCGCCGCGGUAAUACCAGCUCUCCGAGUGGUGUGGAUAUUUAUUGGGCCUAAAGCAUCCGUAGCUGGCCAAGUUAGUCCCCUGUUAAAUCCACCGAAUUAAUCGUUGGAGUGCGGGGGAUACUGCUCGGCUAGGGGACGAGAGAGGCCGACGGUAUUUUCGGGGUAGGGGUGAAAUCCUAUAAUCCCGGGAAGACCACCAGUGGCGAAGGCUGUCGGCUAGAACGCGCCCGACGGUGAGGGAUGAAAGCUGGGGGAGCGAACCGGAUUAGAUACCCGGGUAGUCCCCAGCUGUAAACGAUGCAGGCUAGGUGUUUGGGUGGCCACGGGCCCCUCUAGUGCCCCAGGGAAAGCCGUUAACCCUGCCGCCUGGGGGAGUACGGCCGCAAGGCU